rnacentral:rRNA from 1 species
GACGAACGCUGGCGGCGUGCUUAACACAUGCAAGUCGAACGGAAAGGCCCUGCUUUUGUGGGGUGCUCGAGUGGCGAACGGGUGAGUAACACGUAAGUAACCUGCCCUUGACUUUGGUAUAACUUCAGGAAACUGGGGCUAAUACCGGAUAGGAGCUCCUGCUGCAUGGUGGGGGUUGGAAAGUUUCGGCGGUUGGGGAUGGACUCGCGGCUUAUCAGCUUGUUGGUGGGGUAGUUGCUUACCAAGGCUUUGACGGGUAGCCGGCCUGAGAGGGUGACCGGCCACCUUGGGCCUGAGAUACGGCCCAGACUCCUACGGGAGGCAGCAGUGGGGAAUAUUGCACAAUGGGCGGAAGCCUGAUGCAGCAACGCCGCGGGCGGGAUGACGGCCUUCGGGUUGUAAACCGCUUUCGCCUGUGACGAAGCGUGAGUGACGGUAAUGGGUAAAGAAGCACCGGCUAACUACGUG